UAGGGGGUCAAGGCAGGAGGGCUCUGAAGGUGCUACCCAGAGCAAAGUUGUCAGUGAGGCCUGAAAGCAAGGCCCACCUGCCAGUCCACCCUACCCCACAGAGCCUCUAGGGACCGCCAGAGCCAAUCUGUCUCUUCACUGUGUCCCCACCCCCUUUAUGAGCGUCAUCUGACAUCUUGUGGGCACCCUAGACUUAGUUGUUACAUUGUUUAGGUAGCUUUUCUUGUGAUCAUCUUCUCUGUGUAACUGCUAUACAAAUUCCACCUGCCCCAGCACACCCCUCCACCUGCCCUCCAGCACCAGAGGCCAGGGAAGGGACAAAGGAAAACAGCCAC
rnacentral:lncRNA from 1 species